UUGCUUUGGCAGUACGCAUACUAAAAUUAGAACAAUACAGAGAGAAUGAACAUGGUCCCUCACAAAGAUGACCUGAAAAUUCAUGAAGCAUUCCAUAUUUUU